GAAAACCUACGGGGGGCAGCAGUAGGGAAUAUUGCUCAAUUGGGGAAACCCUGAAGCAGCAACGCCGCGUGGAGGAUGAAGGUUUUCGGAUUGUAAACUCCUUUUGUUAGAGAAGAUAAUGACGGUAUCUAACGAAUAAGCACCGGCUAACUCCGUGCCAGCAGCCGCGGUAAUACGGAGGGUGCAAGCGUUACUCGGAAUCACUGGGCGUAAAGGGCGCGUAGGCGGGAUAGCAAGUCAGAUGUGAAAUCCUAUGGCUUAACCAUAGAACUGCAUUUGAAACUGUUAUUCUAGAGUAUGGUAUU
rnacentral:rRNA from 1 species